CCAGAAUCAAUUAAUAUGCUUUGCAGAAAGUGCAGGGGAAGCCCGAGCUGCUGUCAGCGAGCAGGCAGGAGGCUGAGGGUGACUCAGGAUCCCACUCCCACCUGACACCCAUUUGGUCCCACCCCAUCUUCUCCAAACACUCCAUUAGCCAUCAUUCUUUCCCCCUCUCUCCUUCCCUAUGAUAUUUAGUGCGUGUGUCCCCAAAUCCUUCAGGCAAAGUACCGUCUUGCUCAAGAAACCUUCUGCUUUGAGGGUUUUGGUUUUAGAUUUGAUUUGUAUUUUUGGGUUAUUUGUCAAACCUCCAAUACUUCUCUAGAAAUUCUAAUAUUUAUGUUCUUUGGGAAGGGAAGGGAAGGGGAUAGCUGAUGUUUUUGUCAGACAGUUUAAAAGAUGUCUCAGGAUGAAAAGGGUUGUUUGGUAGUACACAGUUGAGCAGCAGCAAUGAAAAUGCAUCAUGUGUGAAUUGGGAAAGUUUUUGCCUCUCCGUUUAUUACAAAUCAUCAGCACUGGAUAUAUGAGACCAAAGAGUCCGUCUGAUGACACCACGAAUCUGGGAAUGAAGAACUUCUUAGAGCUGAUUGGAAAUGGCAUUACGGAGCUGAAACUUAACUGGAGGAAAUAUAUCUCCUGAAGAAGAAAAUAUAAUGCACUAUAAGGAUCUGACUUCUGGUGAAAAAUUCAAGCCUAGAGAAAACUUGUCCGCUUUGUUAGGAAGAAUGGGUUGGACAAUUUUCUUCAGUUCCAAAGGAUAUCUGAAUGCCAUGCUGAGCUUAAUCUCUGCAGCAUGCUCUGUGCUUCUCAUCUCUUCCUGAUGCACUGCAUGGUUAUCCUGAAGGGGACGAUAAAGAAACUGGCCACCAAGAUGGUAAUCACUAGUGGAAAUGAAGAAGAUAAAGGGAGUCAAGAAAAGGAAAGCAAAGAAGAAACCAUCUUGGCAAUGCUUGGAAUUAUUGGGACAAUUCUGAACCUCAUUGUGAUCAUUUUUGUGUAUAUUUACACAACGUUGUAAACUAGAAGGCAUGCAAAUAGACCAGAUAAAAUGGCCAUUAAGAAUGACAACAAACAUUGCUGACUAUUGACAAGUUCUUUAAUCAGAAUUGACUCUGUAUUAUAUUAACACAUCAUAAAAGCACUGCCUGCAGGCAGCGAAGACUGAAGCACAAUUAAUUUAACAAGACUUUUUCACACAGUAAUAAGCUUAACUCUUCUAUCCUGCCCUCUCCCUUUCGGUUUGGUUUUCAGUUUGGGGGAGAAUGACUGCAGUUAUGUAAGCUGUAGCUUUGAAGAAAUCCACCAGGGAUAUGUUGUUUUAACACAAUUUAAAAAAAAAAAAAAAAAGAAAAAAUAGAAAGAAAAAAAAGAAAAUAAAGAAACUGUACACUAUAUAUAAUUAGAAAUG
rnacentral:lncRNA from 1 species